UUGAAACACCAGCUCUCAUCUAAUCACCAAAGUUAAGCAAUGUUGAGCCUGGUCAGUAGAUGUGUGACCACUUAGGAAUACCAGGUGCUA